rnacentral:rRNA from 1 species
AUGGCUCAGUUGGCAAACAAGUGGCAAAGGGUGGAAGCACUUGGGAUGAAGAAGCUCGCGCUCUCAGCCAGACAAGAUCAACACUGUUGCACUUUUGUACCAGCCAGGGGCCACUGUGUCAUGUAAACGGCCAAUGGGAGGCGUUUCGAGGUGCCGUUUGUGUACCUCAGCACCAUGGUCUUUGGCGAGCUCCUCAUGAUGUCCCAGGAGGAGUUUGGCUUUGCAAGCGACAACGACAUCACACUGCCUUAUGAUGCUGCGGUGAUGUGCUUGCUCAGGAGAAAUGCCUCCGCCGAGGUCGAGGGUGCAUUGCUGAGCUCUAUGGUGAUGGUGAUGUCCUGCCACAACACCAGCUGUGCAAUGCCUACAGUUGGAGCUAGCCAACAGAUUUGCUGUCUGUAG